UGUAGCCCAAGAGCAACCUGCACAUUUGUUUUCUGAAGCAAAGGGUUGAAGGUAGGGGGCCACUAAACUUGUUUCUCGUCAAAUCCAACAACAUUAGGCUACUGUUUAUGCCCAAUCCUUGAGGGAUUUCUCCACUCAAAUGGUUGGUAAAAAGCAUGAGGAUCUGCAGCUGCGUGAGGAACCCUAAUUCACUUGGAAUCUCACCCUCCAGCUGGUUAUCAUAAAUCUCCAGAUCAAUCAAAGCCCUGCAAUUUCCCAACUCCGGUGGGAUUGUUCCAGACAGAUGAUUCUCAGAAAGGUAUAGAAGGUUUAGGUUAGCGAGCUUCCCUAGAGAAGCAGGGAUUUCACCACUCAAUCCACAAUUAACAGCAGCGAGGUUAGUUAAGCUACUGCAGUUUCCCAAUUCCGGUGGAAUACCGCCGGUGAAUUGAUUGUCGGAUAAGAUGAGAUAGAGCAACUCUCGGCAAUUACCCAAACCCGAAGGAAUCCUCCCAGUCAGAUUGUUAUCAUUGACGUACAAAUAAACAAGCUCCUCGAGAUUGUUCAGGCUGUCUGGUAAUGUACCUUGUAAGAAAUUGUUGUUCAGGUAAAGUUCUUGCAACGAACUGCAGUUUCCGAUGGUGGACGGAACAGUUCCCGAUAGCUGAUUGUUGUACAGAAACAAAAAUUCCAGGCGAGUCGCGUUCCCAAUGCUGGAUGGAAUUGAGCCAUUGAGAUUGUUGUUGUUGAGAUAAAUUGUGCUCAAUAUUGGAGCUCGAAACAAUGAUUCAGGAAUUUCACCCCCAAGAGAAUUUCCCCAGAGACUCAAGUACUCGAGCUUUGGUAAAUCCCCAAAACUUUCUGGAAUCCUUCCAGCAAAGCUGUUGUAUGAUAGCUCCACCGACUGAAGAAGACUACAGUCGCCGAGCUCCUUCGGAAUUGAACCAGAGAAACUGUUGUAGCUCAAAUCAACAGAUUUCAGGUGCUUUAUGUAUGCAAUUUCUGGCCCCAAUUGACCUGAAAUUCCGAACCCCGACAAGUUGAAAGCAACCACGACGUCAUGGUUGUUACAGUGCACUCCAAUCCACGAACAAGGAGUGGAAUCAGAAGCGUUCCAACUUAAAUUGAUGGAUGAAGGAACCUUAUCCCAGUGCCUAAGGAGCGACAAGAGCGCUGCGCCAUCCAAGCUCAGAGCAGAUACGAGCAAUGUCGAAUUAGGAAGCAAGAGAAGCAGCAAGAAACAGCUCAGAGCAAUUUUCAUGUCGAUAAUGCAACUAACCGAGCGCUAGCCUAAUUUUCUUGAGAAAAAACCUCAAUUCUCAUGAGGAAGAAGAUGAUUAGCUGAAAAGGGUUUUGCCGCCUCGGACUACAUGCCAGCACAAAACAGUACUGAGCAAAAGUGACAGGAAUUUAUGAGUCAUAGUGUGAAAACUGACGACAAUCAGCUUUAAUGAACCAGGCACAACUGCAUUUUUAUAAUGAUUUGCAGCAGGUGUUCAUAUACAUUGCUGGCAUGGCAAUGGCUGAUAGACAAAUUUCAACGCGGUCACACGUCAAUUCUAGCUAACUGUGACGGCGACUUCGCUCCUACUGAUUUUAGAGAUGCCAUGGAAGAAGUGGAAGUUAGUUGAAGUGGAGGUUGGGUGGGCUUGUGGUGAUUUUAGCCUUUAGGCAAUCUUCCUCCAUUGAAAUAAUAUAUAAUUCUUUGACCUCCUUUUUACCUGUGGCUGCUGUGAAGUGCUUCUUUAAUCAUUCCUGCCUACCAUGGCCUCUGCUACUUUAGAGCAUUCACAUUGCAGACAUAAACCUGGUGGGAUCUAAAGAAAUCAAGCACGAACACAUCACCACAUACAAUUAUAGGAAGCAUUACCUUGUUCUACAGAUCAUCCCCAAAUGAUAGGAAAAUAAUAA